UACUAGAGUAGCACUCGCAUAUCAAUAAGCGGAGGAAAAGAAACUAACAAGGAUUCCCCUAGUAACGGCGAGUGAAGCGGGAAGAGCUCAAAUUUGAAAUCUUAAAGGGUUUCCCUUUACGAAUUGUAGUUUAAAGAAGUGUUUUCUGUUGAGGUUUUGGUAAAAGUUCUUUGGAAUAGGACAUCAUAGAGGGUGAGAAUCCCGUAUUUGACCUUUACUUUCAACUUUGUGAUACACUUUCAAAGAGUCGGAUUGUUUGGGAAUGCAGUCCAAAAUGGGUGGUAAAUUUCAUCUAAAGCUAAAUAUUGGCGAGAGACCGAUAGCGAACAAGUACCGUGAGGGAAAGAUGAAAAGAACUUUGAAAAGAGAGUUAAACAGUACGUGAAAUUGUCAGAAGGGAAGCGUUUGACACCAGUGUUGUUUUUCUGAAAAUCAAUUAAAGAACUGUUUAUGCUAAGUCUGUUUAGACUUUAUCAGCUAUCUGUUUAGUUUUGAGCUUUUCUUUAAUGCACUUUUCAGUUAACAAGUCAACAUCAAUUUCUUUUGCUGUAAAAAAGCUUGAGGAAGGUGGCUUGAGAUUCGUCUUAAGUGUUUAUAGCCUCUUGCCUAUGCAGUCGGAGAGAUUGAGGUCUGCAGCGUAGAUCCUUCGGGGCUAAAUGCAUUUGUGCUAAGUUAUAGCAUUUUAUAGACAACUUGUUGACUAUGAUUUGUCUUGUAGCUUACUCGCUUAUGUUAUUUUACCUACGCUUAGGAUGUUGAGCGCAUGUCUCUCUCU
rnacentral:rRNA from 1 species